rnacentral:sRNA from 1 species
AUCCGUAUUGGUCUCAACAGGGUGGGCUC